rnacentral:rRNA from 1 species
GAUGAACGCUGGCGGCGUGCCUAAUACAUGCAAGUCGAGCGAACAGACGAGGAGCUUGCUCCUCUGACGUUAGCGGCGGACGGGUGAGUAACACGUGGAUAACCUACCUAUAAGACUGGUAUCACUUCGGGAAACCGGAGCUAAUCCCGGAUAAUAUAUUGAACCGCAUGGUUCAAUAGUGAAAGACGGUUUUGCUGUCACUUAUCGAUGGAUCUGCGCCGCAUUGGCUAGUUGUUAAGUUAACGGCUUACCAAGGCAACGAUGCGUAGCCGACCGGACAGGGUGAUCGGCCACACGGGAGCUGAGACAGGGUCCAGGCGCCUACGAGAGGCAGCAGUAGGGAAUCUGCCGCAAUGGGCGAAAGCCUGACGGAGCAACGCCGCGUGAGUGAUGAAGGUCUUCGGAUCGUAAAGCUCUGUUAUUAGGGAAGAACAAAUGUGUAAGUAACUAUGCACGUCUUGACGGUACCUAAUCAGAAAGCCACGGCUAACUACGUG